rnacentral:rRNA from 1 species
GAUGAACGCUGGCGGCGUGCCUAAUACAUGCAAGUCGAGCGAACAGAUGAGGAGCUUGCUCCUCUGACGUUAGCGGCGGACGGGUGAGUAACACGUGGAUAACCUACCUAUAAGACUGGGAUAACUUCGGGAAACCGGAGCUAAUACCGGAUAAUAUAUUGAACCGCAUGGUUCAAUAGUGAAAGACGGUUUUGCUGUCACUUAUAGAUGGAUCCGCGCCGCAUUAGCUAGUUGGUAAGGUAACGGCUUACCAAGGCAACGAUGCGUAGCCGACCUGAGAGGGUGAUCGGCCACACGGGAACUGAGACACGGUCCAGACUCCUACGGGAGGCAGCAGUAGGGAAUCUUCCGCAAUGGGCGAAAGCCUGACGGAGCAACGCCGCGUGAGUGAUGAAGGUGUUCGGAGCGUAAAACUCUGUUAUUAGGGAAGAACAAAUGUGUAAGUAACUAUGCACGUCUUGACGGUACCUAAUCAGAAAGCCACGGCUAACUACGUG